rnacentral:lncRNA from 1 species
AAUUGUUCCCCUUCUGGGUUGCUUUCCAGACAUAUCAAUAUUUUGCUAAUAUGAGAAUAUUCAGCCAGAAAGCAACACAAUAUGCUAGUUCAGCUGCUUUAUUGAAACCGUAUUUCUGAGGGCUGUUUUUCACUUUAGUGACUCAUGUGAUAUGUGCCAUUUUAACGUGGUGUGUAGGACACACAGUUGUUCCAACACUUCAUUAUUUGGCUCGAAGCAGUACAGUACAUUUUUCUGUUUAGGGAACAAGUUUGGAUUUACCAUUGACUCAGGAGAACUUCACAAUGUAUCUUUGGGUCAAGGACAGGAAGCUGUAGCAGAAAUAGCUAUGGAAAAAGCAUCAAAAGAAGGCCACUGGGUUAUACUUCAACAAAGUGGCUCGACACAUUAGAGAAAUUACUGAAGAAACCCAGUGAACAAGUCACUCAGGCUACUGUGUUUUGAGGAGCGGGAACCUGCCCCUUCUCCUAAAGAACAUCUCAUUCCAGAGGGAUUUUGGAAACCUCCUUUUAAAAUAACUGAUAAGCCACCACCUGAAACGCUGUCUGAUCGUCGUGCUGCACUGGAUAAUUUUGACCAGUUUGAUCGGAAGUCAGUGCUCGCUCCUGGGUUUGCAGUCUCGUCAAACCUGGAUUAUGAAGGUUACCAUAAAAAUAUGGAUGAAAUGCUACCUCCCAAAAGCCCCAUUCGUUAUGGCCUGCACCCCAAUGUGGAGAUUGCUUCUGUGACAAUAACUGCAGUCAACCCGCUCCAGAUGCUAUUAGAACUGCAGUUCAAAUAUUCAGUCACUGGGGAAGGAGCCUCUCAAGCUGUGGAAGACAAGGCAACCCACUGGACAGAAGGGAGGCAGUUGUUUGAUACCUUAGAGACC